GUCUAGAGAGUGAAGGCCACAAAAAGAGGGAAAGACAGCAUAGGCCCAGAGCUUCCCUUUGGUGCCAUUGCGCUUCCACUGAGAAUCAGGCCCCUCCAAUGUACUGUAAGAUCAGCACCCUACCAGGGUUUUCACUGGGAUUUUGAUACCUGUACAACUUGACCAUUCCUGGUUGCCAUUUUUCUAAUAGAAGGUGAAAGACUGAGAGGAAACAGAAGAGAGAAAUAGAGACACAGAGAAGAAACAAUACUGUAGCCCUGCUUCACCACUCACCACUCAUGAACCUUCCCUCCAGCAGCUGGGGACUGGGGUUUCAAUCCUUGUAUUCGUACAUAGUAAGUAACGUGUAUUCUACUAGGUGUACCACCACCUGGUCCCCAUUAAUGUGUUUUUUCUUUUUGUUUUACUAACCUCUCACUAAGGAUUUGUUAAUUUUGCUUUUUUAAAAUCAUCUUGUUUUCUGUUUUAUCUCUCAUUUUUAUUGUUUUCCUUCUGCUGACUGUCUUCAUUUGUCUUUUUUUGUUGUUGUUCUAGGUCUUUUAAUUGUAAUGUAAAAUUGCUUGCUUGAGAUCUUUCUUGAUUCAUGAAAUAUAAACCAGAAUUACUAUGAACUCCUUAAUAUUAAUUUUGUAGUGUCCAAUGGAGUCUGAUAACUUGUGUCCUCAUUUCAUCUGUUUCCAGAAAAUUUCUCGUUGAUGCAAUGUUUAUUUAAUGUGUUGUUUGUCCUCCAUCUAUUUGAACUUCCAUUUUUUUGGUUGAUUUUACUUUUUAUUGUGAUCAGAAAAGAUGUUUAAUAGAUUUCAAUCUUUCUGAAUUUAUUGACACUUAUUUUAUGUCCCAACAUAUCUUUGAGAAUGUUCUAGAAGCUCUGUAAACAAAUACUUCUUCAGCCUUUGGGGACUGAGUGCCCUGUUAAUCACAAAUAAAACCAACUGGUCAAACUCUU